UUUCCUCCGCUUAUUGAUAUGCUUAAGUUCAGCGGGUAUCCCUACCUGAUCCGAGGUCAAAAUUGAGAAAAUGGGCUUCUGGACGCCGACGCGCUGGCGGGAGUCGCAAGAAUGUGCUGCGCUCCACGACCGGUACAUCGGCUGCCAAUUGCUUUAAGGCGAGUCCCUUGACAGGACAAACGCCCAACACCAAGCAAAGCUUGAGGUAUCAAAUGACGCUCGAACAGGCAUGCCCCAUGGAAUACCAAGGGGCGCAAUGUGCGUUCAAAGAUUCGAUGAUUCACUGAAUUCUGCAAUUCACACUACUUUUCGCAUUUCGCUGCGUUCUUCAUCGAUGCCAGAACCAAGAGAUCCGUUGUUGAAAGUUUUAAUAUUGUUUGUUUUACUGACGCUGAUUACAAUUACAAGUGGUUUUACAAUGUCCUAUCGGCAGGCAAGCCCGCCGAGGAAACAAUUGGUACGCAAAAGACAAGGGUGCAGACAGGGCCGAAGCCCCAGGGAAAUGCGUGCUACCUGAUCCGAGGUCAAAUUGAGAAAAUGGGCUUCUGGACGCCGACGCGCUGGCGGGAGUCGCAAGAAUGUGCUGCGCUCCACGACCGGUACAUCGGCUGCCAAUUGCUUUAAGGCGAGUCCCUUGACAGGACAAACGCCCAACACCAAGCAAAGCUUGAGGUAUCAAAUGACGCUCGAACAGGCAUGCCCCAUGGAAUACCAAGGGGCGCAAUGUGCGUUCAAAGAUUCGAUGAUUCACUGAAUUCUGCAAUUCACACUACUUUUCGCAUUUCGCUGCGUUCUUCAUCGAUGCCAGAACCAAGAGAUCCGUUGUUGAAAGUUUUAAUAUUGUUUGUUUUACUGACGCUGAUUACAAUUACAAGUGGUUUUACAAUGUCCUAUCGGCAGGCAAGCCCGCCGAGGAAACAAUUGGUACGCAAAAGACAAGGGUGCAGACAGGGCCGAAGCCCAGCUACGAAAUCGUUAAUGAUCCUUCCGCAGGUACCCCUACGGAAG
rnacentral:misc_RNA from 1 species